GACGAACGCUGGCGGCGUGCUUAACACAUGCAAGUCGAACGGAAAGGCCCUGCUUGCAGGGUACUCGAGUGGCGAACGGGUGAGUAACACGUGGGUGAUCUGCCCUGCACUUCGGGAUAAGCCUGGGAAACUGGGUCUAAUACCGGAUAGGAGCCAUUUUUAGUGUGAUGGUUGGAAAGUUUUUUCGGUGUAGGAUGAGCUCGCGGCCUAUCAGCUUGUUGGUGGGGUAAUGGCCUACCAAGGCGGCGACGGGUAGCCGGCCUGAGAGGGUGGACGGCCACAUUGGGACUGGGAGACGGGCCAGACUCCUACGGGGGGCAGCAGUGGGGAGUAUUGCACAAUGGGCGCGAGCCUGAUGCAGCGGCGCCGCGUGGGGGAUGACGGCCUUCGGGUUGUAAACUCCUUUCGCUAGGGACGAAGCUUUUUGUGACGGUACCUAGAUAAGAAGCACCGGCUAACUACGUG
rnacentral:rRNA from 1 species